GACGAACGCUGGCGGCGUGCUUAACACAUGCAAGUCGAGCGGAGCGGCGAAAGGGUGAGUAACGCGUGAGUAACUGCCCCCCUCUCUGGGAUAACAGUUGGAAACGGCUGCUAAUACCGGAUAGUGGGGGAUGAAUCGAGUCCUAUCAGGUUGUUGGUGGGGUAGUGGCCUACCAAGGCGACGACGGGUAGCCGGCCUGAGAGGGCGACCGGCCACAGUGGGCUGAGAGACGGCCCAAACUCCUACGGGAGGCAUCAGGGUGAACCUUGCCGAACGGGGCAAACCCUGAGGCAGCAACGCGCGUGCGGGAUGACGGCUUUCGGGUUGUAAACCGCUUUCAUCCAUGACGCGGUAGUGGCAGAAGAAGCACCGGCUAACUACGUGCCAGCAGCCGCGGUAAUAC
rnacentral:rRNA from 1 species